rnacentral:rRNA from 1 species
GACGAACGCUGGCGGCGUGCUUAACACAUGCAAGUCGAGCGGUAAGGCCCUUUCGGGGGUACACGAGCGGCGAACGGGUGAGUAACACGUGGGUGACCUGCCCUCAGCUCUGGGAUAAGCCUGGGAAACCGGGUCUAAUACCGGAUAUGACUCCAUGACGCAUGUUGUGGGGUGGAAAGCCUUGUGCGGCUGAGGAUGGGCCCGCGGCCUAUCAGCUUGUUGGUGGGGUGAUGGCCUACCAAGGCGACGACGGGUAGCCGGCCUGAGAGGGCGACCGGCCACACUGGGACUGAGACACGGCCCAGACUCCUGCGGGAGGCAGCAGUGGGGAAUCUUGCGCAAUGGGCGAAAGCCUGACGCAGCGACGCCGCGUGAGGGAUGACGGCCU